AUUGAACGCUGGCGGCAGGCCUAACACAUGCAAGUCGAACGGUAACAGGAAGAAGCUUGCUUCUUUGCUGACGAGUGGCGGACGGGUGAGUAAUGUCUGGGAAACUGCCUGAUGGAGGGGGAUAACUACUGGAAACGGUAGCUAAUACCGCAUAACGUCGCAAGACCAAAGAGGGGGGACCUUCGGGGCCUCUUGCCAUCGGAUGUGCCCAGAUGGGAUUAGCUAGUAGGUGGGGUAACGGCUCACCUAGGCGACGAUCCCUAGCUGGUCUGAGAGGAUGACCAGCCACACUGGAACUGAGACACGGUCCAGACUCCUACGGGAGGCAGCAGUGGGAAUAUUGCACAAUGGGCGCAAGCCUGAUGCAGCCAUGCCGCGUGUAUGAAGAAGGCC
rnacentral:rRNA from 1 species